rnacentral:rRNA from 2 species
CUGCGGCAGCGACACUAUGUGUUGUUGGGUAGGGGAGCGUUCUGUAAGCCUGCGAAGGUGGCCUGUGAGGGUUGCUGGAGGUAUCAGAAGUGCGAAUGCUGACAUAAGUAACGAUAAAGCGGGUGAAAAGCCCGCUCGCCGGAAGACCAAGGGUUCCUGUCCAACGUUAAUCGGGGCAGGGUGAGUCGACCCCUAAGGCGAGGCCGAAAGGCGUAGUCGAUGGGAAACGGGUUAAUAUUCCCGUACUUGGUGUUACUGCGAAGGGGGGACGGAGAAGGCUAUGUUGGCCGGGCGACGGUUGUCCCGGUUUAAGCGUGUAGGUGUGUGUUCCAGGUAAAUCCGGUUCACUUUAACACUGAGGCGUGAUGACGAGGCACUACGGUGCUGAAGCAACAAAUGCCCUGCUUCCAGGAAAAGCCUCUAAGCAUCAGGUAACAUCAAAUCGUACCCCAAACCGACACAGGUGGUCAGGUAGAGAAUACCAAGGCGCUUGAGAGAACUCGGGUGAAGGAACUAGGCAAAAUGGUGCCGUAACUUCGGGAGAAGGCACGCUGACACGUAGGUGAAGUGAUUUACUCAUGGAGCUGAAGUCAGUCGAAGAUACCAGCUGGCUGCAACUGUUUAUUAAAAACACAGCACUGUGCAAACACGAAAGUGGACGUAUACGGUGUGACGCCUGCCCGGUGCCGGAAGGUUAAUUGAUGGGGUCAGCGCAAGCGAAGCUCCUGAUCGAAGCCCCGGUAAACGGCGGCCGUAACUAUAACGGUCCUAAGGUAGCGAAAUUCCUUGUCGGGUAAGUUCCGACCUGCACGAAUGGCGUAAUGAUGGCCAGGCUGUCUCCACCCGAGACUCAGUGAAAUUGAACUCGCUGUGAAGAUGCAGUGUACCCGCGGCAAGACGGAAAGACCCCGUGAACCUUUACUAUAGCUUGACACUGAACAUUGAGCCUUGAUGUGUAGGAUAGGUGGGAGGCUUUGAAGUGUGGACGCCAGUCUGCAUGGAGCCGGCCUUGAAAUACCACCCUUUAAUGUUUGAUGUUCUAACGUGGACCCGUGAUCCGGGUUGCGGACAGUGUCUGGUGGGUAGUUUGACUGGGGCGGUCUCCUCCUAAAGAGUAACGGAGGAGCACGAAGGUUGGCUAAUCCUGGUCGGACAUCAGGAGGUUAGUGCAAUGGCAUAAGCCAGCUUGACUGCGAGCGUGACGGCGCGAGCAGGUGCGAAAGCAGGUCAUAGUGAUCCGGUGGUUCUGAAUGGAAGGGCCAUCGCUCAACGGAUAAAAGGUACUCCGGGGAUAACAGGCUGAUACCGCCCAAGAGUUCAUAUCGACGGCGGUGUUUGGCACCUCGAUGUCGGCUCAUCACAUCCUGGGGCUGAAGUAGGUCCCAAGGGUAUGGCUGUUCGCCAUUUAAAGUGGUACGCGAGCUGGGUUUAGAACGUCGUGAGACAGUUCGGUCCCUAUCUGCCGUGGGCGCUGGAGAACUGAGGGGGGCUGCUCCUAGUACGAGAGGACCGGAGUGGACGCAUCACUGGUGUUCGGGUUGUCAUGCCAAUGGCACUGCCCGGUAGCUAAAUGCGGAAGAGAUAAGUGCUGAAAGCAUCUAAGCACGAAACUUGCCCCGAGAUGAGUUCUCCCUGAGACUUAGAGUCUCCUGAAGGAACGUUGAAGACGACGACGUUGAUAGGCCGGGUGUGUAAGCGCAGCGAUGCGUUGAGCUAACCGGUACUAAUGAACCGUGAGGCUUAACCUUACA